GCUCUGGUAGCUCAGCGGUUUAGAGCGUCGUGCUAAUAACGCGAAGGCCCUGGGUUCGAUCCCCAGUCAGAGCA
rfam:Nosema ceranae strain PA08 1199 NODE_36, whole genome shotgun sequence.